rnacentral:rRNA from 1 species
AGCGGCGAACGGGUGAGUAAUGCAUCGGAACGUAUCCUGCAGUGGGGGACAACGCCGGGAAACCGGCGCUAAUACCGCAUAUGCUCUGUGGAGGAAAGUGGGGGACCUGAGAGGGCCUCACGCUGUGAGCGCGGCCGAUGUCCGAUUAGCUGGUUGGUGGGGUAAAGGCUUACCAAGGCGACGAUCGGUAGCUGGUCUGAGAGGAUGAUCAGCCACACUGGGACUGAGACACGGCCCAGACUCCUACGGGAGGCAGCAGUGGGGAAUUUUGGACAAUGGGGGCAACCCUGAUCCAGCCAUGCCGCGUGCGGGAAGAAGGCCUUCGGGUUGUAAACCGCUUUUAGCUGGGAAGAAAAGGCACGGGCCAAUACCCCGUGUUCUUGACGGUACCGGCGGAAUAAGCACCGGCUAACUACGUGCCAGCAGCCGCGGUAAUACGUAGGGUGCGAGCGUUAAUCGGAAUUACUGGGCGUAAAGCGUGCGCAGGCGGUUCGUUGUGUUUGCGGUGAAAGCCCCGGGCUCAACCUGGGAAUGGCCGUGAAAACUGGCGAGCUGGAGUGUGGCAGAGGGGGGUGGAAUUCCAGGUGUAGCAGUGUAAUGCGUAGAGAUCUGGAGGAACACCGAUGGCGAAGGCAGCCCCCUGGGCUGACACUGACGCUCAGGCACGAAAGCGUGGGGAGCAAACAGGAUUAGAUACCCU